AUUGAACGCUGGCGGCAGGCCUAACACAUGCAAGUCGAACGAGUGGCGGACGGGUGAGUAAUGUCUGGGAAACUGCCCGAUGGAGGGGGAUAACUACUGGAAACGGUCGCUAAUACCGCAUACCAUCGGAUGUGCCCAGAUGGGAUUAGCUAGUAGGUGGGGUAAUGGCUCACCUAGGCGACGAUCCCUAGCUGGUCUGAGAGGAUGACCAGCCAAACGGGAACGGAGACACGGUCCAGACUCCUACGGACGGAAGCAGGGGGGAAUAUUGCACAAUGGGCGCAAGCCGGAUGCAGCCAGGCCGCGUGUAUGAAGAAGGCCUUCGGGUUGUAAGGUACUUUCAGCGAGGAGGCGUUACUCGCAGAAGAAGCACCGGCUAACUCCGUGCCAGCAGCCGCGGUAAUUC
rnacentral:rRNA from 1 species